rnacentral:rRNA from 1 species
CCUACGGGAGGCAGCAGUGAGGAAUAUUGGUCAAUGGACGAGAGUCUGAACCAGCCAAGUAGCGUGAAGGAUGACUGCCCUAUGGAUUGUAAACUUCUUUUAUAUGGGAAUAAAACAGGGUAUGCAUACCCUCUUGUAUGUACCAUAUGAAUAAGGAUCGGCUAACUCCGUGCCAGCAGCCGCGGUAAUACGGAGGAUCCGAGCGUUAUCCGGAUUUAUUGGGUUUAAAGGGAGCGUAGGUGGAUUGUUAAGUCAGUUGUGAAAGUUUGCGGCUCAACCGUAAAAUUGCAGUUGAAACUGGCAGUCGUGAGUGCAGGAGAGGUGGGCGGAAUGCGUGGUGUAGCGGUGAAAUGCUUAGAUAUCGCGAAGAACUCCGAUUGCGAAGGCAGCUCACUGGACUGCAACUGACACUGAUGCUCGAAAGUGUGGGUAUCAAACAGGAUUAGAUACCCUUGUAGUC